rnacentral:antisense_RNA from 1 species
GAUGGGGCGAGCCAUGGGACUGGAAGGCAGCAGGCAGAUGUCAGGGUCAGGCAUUGCUGGCUCAGAAGCAGGAAAUCUCAUGUAGAAGCCCAGAACUUUCAAGAGAUAAGAAGUAGGGAGAUUCUGGUUUAAAGAGAGAUGACGGAAGCCCCGAAUGUCCUGUCUUCUGCUCCCCCAGAUACCUUCAUGGACUACAGAGCUGUACAUACGACUAUUGAAGUUUAUAACUAAAAAUAAACCAAUAGGAAACCUAGCCAUGGCAUAGUGGCUACAUGCAUGGGAUGUGAAGCCACAAUUCCUGAGUUUGAAUCCCAGCUCUGCCUCAUCUUAAAAGUGUGAUCAUAGAGAGUGUGCCAACAUCAUUCUAAAUGAUUGGGAUACAUGAGUGGGAGUGAAUGAAGUGGGCAAUGGCAGCAUUUUAGAAAAGGACUA